GCGGAGACAAAUGUUUCCGUUCACUCCUCACACCACACUUCGCCCGGGCAACGCUCGGGCGUU
rnacentral:sRNA from 1 species